rnacentral:rRNA from 1 species
AGGGCGCAUGGUGAAUGCCUUGGCAUCAGGAGCCGAUGAAGGACGUGAUAAGCUGCGAUAAGCUUCGGGUAGGCGCACAUAGCCAGUGAUCCGGAGAUUUCCGAAUGUGGGAACACACAUGGGAAACCCCAUGUAUCGUAUAGUGAAUACAUAGCUAUACGAGGGUAAACCUAGGGAACUGAAACAUCUAAGUACCUAGAGGAAGAGAAAGAAAAAUCGAUUUCCUUAGUAGCGGCGAGCGAAAGGGAAAGAGCCCAAACCAAAGAUUUAUCUUUGGGGUUGCGGACAGAGCAUUAACGAGAAGUCGUAACUAACCGAACAUAACUGGAAAGUUAGACCGUAGGAGGUAAUAGUCCUGUAGGUGAAAGCGAAAUUAAUCAAGUUCUGAUCCAGAGUACCACGAGACACGUGAAACCUUGUGGGAAGCAGGGAGGACCACCUCCCAAGGCUAAAUACUACCUGAUGACCGAUAGUGAAGCAGUACCGUGAGGGAAAGGUGAAAAGAACCCCGGGAGGGGAGUGAAAUAGAACCUGAAACCGUGUGCCUACAACCGGUCAAAGCCCCUUAUGAGGGUGAUGACGUGCUUUUUGUAGAACGAGCCAACGAGUUACGGUAUGUAGCAAGGUUAAGUACUUAAGGUACGGAGCCGAAGGGAAACCGAGUCUUAAUAGGGCGACUAGUUGCAUGCCGUAGACCCGAAACCGGGUGACCUAUCCAUGGCCAGGUUGAAGCGAGGGUAAAACUUCGUGGAGGACCGAACCACGUUGCUGUUGAAAAAGCAUGGGAUGAGCUGUGGAUAGCGGAGAAAUUCCAAUCGAACUCGGAGAUAGCUGGUUCUCCCCGAAAUAGCUUUAGGGCUAGCCUCGAUUUAGAUUAUUGGGGGUAGAGCACUGAAUGGGCUAGGGGGCCACAAAGCUUACUGAACCCUAUCAAACUGCGAAUACCAAUUAAUUGAUGAUCGGGAGUCAGACAGUGAGAGAUAAGUUCCAUUGUCGAAAGGGAAACAGCCCAGAUCCACGACUAAGGUCCCAAAAUACACGUUAAGUGGAAAAGGAUGUGCAGUUGCACAGACAACCAGGAUGUUGGCUUAGAAGCAGCCACUCAUUCAAAGAGUGCGUAAUAGCUCACUGGUCGAGUGAAUGUGCGCCGAAAAUAUACCGGGGCUAAACGUGAUACCGAAGUCUGGGGAUCAAGAAAUUGAUCGGUAGGGGAGCAACGCAUACGGACAGAAGCAGAAGCGGGAGCGACUGUGGACUGUAUGGGAGAGAGAAUGCCGGCAUGAGUAGCGAGAGCAAAGUGAGAAUCUUUGCCGUCGAAAGCCUAAGGUUUCCUGAGGAAGGCUCGUCCUCUCAGGGUAAGUCGGGACCUAAGCCGAGGACAAGAGUCGUAGGCGAUGGAUAACAGGUUGAUAUUCCUGUACCGUACUUAAGCGUUUGACUGAAGCAGUGACACAGAAGGAUAGACAGACCGAGUGAAUGGAAGAACUCGGCCAAGCAGUGAGGCUGACAUGUAGUGAAGUACGCAUGUUAAGGCUGGGCUGUGAUGGGGACUGAAGAUUAGUAAGGAAGCUGUUGAAUUCACACUGGCGAGAAAAGCUGCUAAGGAGCGAGAGUAUGCCCGUACCGCAAACCGACACAGGUAGGCGAGGAGAGAAUCCUAAGACGAGCGGGAGAACCCUUGUUAAGGAACUCGGCAAAAUGACUCCGUAACUUAGGGAGAAGGAGUGCCUCGAGAGAGGCCGCAGAGAAUAGGCCCAAGCGACUGUUUACCAAAAACACAGGUCUGUGCGAAGUAGAGAUACGACGUAUACGGGCUGACGCCUGCCCAGUGCCGGAAGGUUAAGGGGAAGUGUUAGGGCAACCGAAGCACGGAACUUAAGCCCCGGUGAACGGCGGCCGUAACUAUAACGGUCCUAAGGUAGCGAAAUUCCUUGUCGGGUAAGUUCCGACCCGCACGAAUGGCGUAACGACUUGGGCACUGUCUCAACAAGGGACCCGGCGAAAUUGUAGUAUGUGUGAAGAUGCACAUUACCCGCGAUAGGACGGAAAGACCCCGUAGAGCUUUACUGUAGUUUAACAUUGGAUUUUGAUAACACAUGUACAGGAUAGGUGGGAGGCUGAGAAACCGGCACGCCAGUGCCGAUGGAGCCGCUGUUGGGAUACCACUCUUGUGUUAUUGGAGUUCUAACGAAGUGCCGUAAACCGGGCUUCGGACAGUGUUAGAUGGGCAGUUUGACUGGGGCGGUCGCCUCCGAAAGAGUAACGGAGGCGUCCAAAGGUUCCCUCAGAAUGGUUGGAAACCAUUCACAGAGUGCAAAGGCAGAAGGGAGCUUGACUGCGAGACCGACAGGUCGAGCAGGUACGAAAGUAGGGCUUAGUGAUCCGGCGGUAUGAGAGUGGAAUUGCCGUCGCUCAACGGAUAAAAGCUACCUCGGGGAUAACAGGCUGAUCUCCCCCAAGAGUCCACAUCGACGGGGAGGUUUGGCA